AGUGGUGGUAGUCCUCCUCCUGGCACAUUUGUUAAGUUUUCAAAUGGGCUUGACUCUACCACAUACAUUACUUAGGAGCUGGCAAAGGCUUGAUGACAAAGAGACCUCUCAUCUCUCUCUUGCCUUCCCCUUGUCAGAUAUUGGCUCCUACAGAG
rnacentral:snoRNA from 12 species